rnacentral:rRNA from 1 species
CAGCCGCCGCGGGAAUACGUAGGUGGCAAGCGUUGUCCGGAAUUAUUGGGCGUGAAGGGCUCGCAGGCGGUUUCUUAAGUCUGAUGUGAAAGCCCCCGGCUCAACCGGGGAGGGUCAUUGGAAACUGGGAAACUUGAGUGCAGAAGAGGAGAGUGGAAUUCCACGUGUAGCGGUGAAAUGCGUAGAGAUGUGGAGGAACACCAGUGGCGAAGGCGACUCUCUGGUCUGUAACUGACGCUGAGGAGCGAAAGCGUGGGGAGCGAACAGGAUUAGAUACCCCUGUAGUCCCUGUCUCUUAUAC